rnacentral:lncRNA from 1 species
UUUUUUUUUUUUUUUUAAAGAUUUUAUUUAUUUACUUGACAGAGAGAAAGGGGUGGGGGGAGAAAGCAUGAGCAGAGGGAGAGGGAGAAGCAGACUCCCCGCUGAGUAAGGAGUCAGGCUCGAUCCCAGGACCCAGAGAUCAUGUCCUGAGCUGAAGGCAGAUGCUUAACUGACUCAGCCACCCAGGCAUUCCUAUUUAUUUUAGAGAGAAAGAGAGCAAGCGUUGGGGAAGGGCACAGGGAGAGACCUCAAGCAGACUCCCUGUUGAGCUCAGAGCCCAAUGGAGGGCUCAAUCUCAUGACCCUGAAAUCAUGACCUGAGUGAAACCAAGAGUUGGUCACUCAACUGAGAUACCAGGAGCCCAUUUCUUAUUUUUAAUAUCAUUUUUAACUCAUAGAUUUUCACAUAUUUGUUGUGUUUAAAUCAGCUACAGAUACUCUUUUCAAUCCUUUAACUGCCCUAUUUUGGGCCAGUAGUAGUCUCUUUAUUUGACUCCUGUGUCCUUUUGGCAAGACUUGUGUAGUCUUUGAGAACACUCUUGCUUUCUGGCACAAGAUGUCUUAACUUCAUUUUACCCCGCACCUGGAAUCAGACAUUUCUACGAGCACAAGUUUCUUUUUUAGAGACCACAUUACCUUAAAUGUCUUCCCAUUUCUCUUAAAUCCAAAAUACCUAAUAUGGUAUCAUGCUUCCUGACAUUGGUAUGUCACAAAUGCGUUAUACUCCUAAAUGGAAAAUUGACCAAUUCAGAGCUGAGUUGAUUGGUGGAGCCUAUGUUGUCUGAAGAAGCUGGGGACAAGCAACUUCAUCUAUUUUCCACAGUGGUGCAUGUAAUAUUUUCUACGAUUGCAAUGAUGAGAAAACAGGAGGUGACGGUAUAGUAAUAAACAUCUGUUUGUCAGCUCAACAGACCUUCCUUUGAUGGAAACUCCUCCAUUCAGUUUUAAAUCUUUUUAGUCCAUGUAAUUAAGACAAGCCUGACCAGGUUCUUCCCCUCCUGUCUCUUCCACAUACAAAUUGCAUUCCCAGAAUGGACGCAGGAUCCAGGCCUGGGUUAGUAGAGGAUUCCAUUCCCUGCCCAUCUGGGCAGUUCAGGGAUAGGUAUAUAUGCUAAAGUUGGCUAGUUGGAGCCUCUUCUGAUAUUUCUGCCUGAGCUAAUUUUCUCUGGAAUUGUGACUUACAAAGAUGUUGCAAGAUUGGAGCUGACAGUGCCCAACCUGCCACAGAAUGGAAAGUACCUGAAAAUAAAGUCAAGCAUGUAGAACUAAAGAAAAAAGAGUCUUGAAGACAUUCUUUAGACUCCUAACUCCAACCAUCCGUAAAGUUAGAAUACCUCUUACCACUGGAGACCUACCGCCCGAGGUCUACAAGACCUUGAAUUGCCCCUCUAUAUCCUCAACUAAUAAGACUUUUUCUCAGUCACUGUACUCUAACCACCUUAGAUCUAUUUGUGGUUCCAUGAAAGCCCCAAUAUCUUACCACCUCCAGGGCUUUGCACCUGCCAUGCCUUUGGCCUGAAAUGCACCAGUCCAAACCUUUCUCUCCACCAGGCCUCAGUUAACCAUUAUAUCCUCAGCAAAACAGUCCCUGACAUUCCUGUUCAGCUCAGACCCUCUGUUAAUCAUCCCCAUAGUUUCCUAUACAUCUCUCUCGUCGCCCUUCCCUUAAACAUAAUCAUUUGUGCAACCACUUCACUAAUUAAUGUCUAAUGUUCCUGUCAAUAUGUAAGUCCCAUGAGGGGAGGUGCUCUGUGAUUUUGACAUGGUGAUUGGUACAUAGUAGGUAUCUCUUGAAUAUGUAUUGAAAGUAUGAGUAAAUACUUUUAAGGCUUAUGGUACAUAUACAUAAUAAUUUUAUUAGAAAAUGUACAUUCGCAAUGUUAAAAUACAUUAAAUUACAAAUAAAUUUGCAGUAGUCGAAAAAGGUACCGAAAAAUAUCCUCUCACAAUAAGUUAAUCUCAAGAAUUUGAGCAGAUGCAGAUAAACAGUGUAUACUUUUUAGAGACCAAACAAAUAUUAUAUACAGAUUUCACUUUAUGCAAGAUAACUUGAAGAGUUUAAAUGUAGGCCAGCUUAGCAAGGUAACAUGGAGAUGCUUUUUGAAGUUAUAAAUCCCUUCAAAUAUAAAAAUCACUUUAAGUUUUGGUUUUCAAAAACUUAUUUUUUCUGAAAUACAAACUAUUUUCAGCAGCUUUUCAUACCUAUCAUCUUUUCCAAUUUAUAAUCCACUUGACCCACUCAAGACCUCAACUAGUGAUUUUUUCCUGAAACUUUAUCCCCCUGCCUUUUCCUCAACCCUAUGUCAUUUCCUUGUCGUCUUCUGCGGCAAGAUGUGUGGUGGUAUAAUCCAGAAAAGAAAGCACUCUUAAUAAAAAGAAAGAUGUUAGUCAUUUUUGUAAAAUCAUAGUUUAGCUGAAUUUUAUUCGAUAUUAUAAAUCUUUGGAAGUUGGGCAACUUCUCUAUGUCAUAUUCUUGGAUGGAAACAGUCUGUUACGCUAAGAUAACAGCCUCAAUUAGUGGACUUCAUAUUAUAUUUUCCUAAUAUUUCUACUAACAGGAGUCACCAGUACAUGUAAUUUACACUAAAAUAAGCAAUUAACUGCUCUUGCAACUUUCUGGCCUACUUCCCCCACUCUAACAAAUUUAGUGGUUUAGAGUGUGGAGUCUAAAGACAGAUAUUUAUUAGACAAAUGUCUUAAUUUCUCUGUGCCUGUUCUUUUAUCUGUAAAAUGGGAAUCAUAACAGUAACUUUGCUUCAUAGGACUGCUGUGAAAACUAAACUCUGUAUUACAUAUUGCCUGCAAUAUGGGAAGAAUUCUAUAAAUAUUAGUUUCAUCAUCACCAUUAUUUUCUAUUGUACACACUAUCUAAACCAAGGGUGUUUCUUUUUAGGAUUAGAAGUGACCCAAAAAAUGUAAGACUGAGGAAAGAGCUGCAGAACAUCAAAGAAGAGAGAUCCCAGGUCUUGACCAAAUAGCCAGAAACCCCUGGCUAUGGCUCUGAUAAGUCUAACCAAAGCAGAGUCUUUCUAUGGGAGAUGAAGAUGAGUAAAAACAAUCUCUAAAAUUUAAUCAAGAUUUCUGUCAGAUUAAGCUUUCUAUUAGAGCUGAAGUUUGAUUUAUGAGUAUGGCAAAUUUCAAUAACAAAAAACCAAAUAGUCUGAUUUUAAAAUGGGCAGAGGAGGAGCACCUGGCUGGCUCAGUCCAUAGAGCAUUAGAUUCUUGAUCUUGGCGUCAUGAGUUCAAGUGCCACACUGAGUGUAGAGCUUACUUAAAAAAAAAAAAAAAAAAAAAAAAAAGAUUAAAAAAAAUGGGCAGAGGAUCUGAAAAGACAUUUUUCCAAAGGACAUACAUAUGGUCAUCAGAUACAUGAAAGGAUGUUCCAGAUCAACUAAUCCUCAAGGAAAUGCAAAUGAAAACCACAAUGAGAUGUCACUUAACACCAGUGACAAUGGCUAAUAUGAAGAAUAUAAGAAAUAGCAAGUACUGAUGAGGAAGUGAAGAAAAGGGGGCCGGCCCUUGUGCACUGUUCCAAAGGAGGAGGCAGGAUUUCAAAGAGACAUCUGCACUCCCAUGUUCAUUGCAGCAUUAUUCACAAAGCCAAAACAUGGAAACCACCUAGAUGUCCAUCAACAGAGGAAUAGAUAAGGAAGAUGUGCGUAUGUAGUGAAAUAUUAUUCAGCCAUGAGAAAGGAGAUCCUUCCAUUUGUGGCAACAUGGAUGGACCUUGAGGUCAUUAUGCUAAGUGAAAUAAGACAGAAAGACAGGGACAUAUACUAUAUGAUAUCACUUAUAUGUGAAAUCUAAACGAGCUGAGCUAUUAGAGGCAGAGAGUUGGAUGAUGGUUGAUAGGGAUUGGGGGUGGAGGAAAUGGGGAGAUGUUGGUCAGAGAACUUCCUGUUAUAAGUGAGUUCUGGGGAUUUACUGUACAACAUGGUGAUCACAAUUAAUAAUAGUGUAUUAUAUAAUUUAAAGUUGCUAAGAGAGUAGAUCUUAAAUGUUCUCACCAAAAAAAAAAAAAAAAUGAUAAUUCUGUGAUAGGAUAUAGGUAUUAGCUAAUGCUAUGGUGGUAAUCUUUUUGCUAUAUGUAAGUUCAUCAAAUCAAUGCAUUGUAUACCUUAAACUUACACAAUGUUAUAUAUCAAUUAUAUCUCAAUAAAGCUGGAAAAACAAAAGGUACAGGGAGAAGAUAUCUAUCUACAAGCCAAGGAGACCUCAAAAGAAACCAGCCCUGAUGACAACCUUGGUCUUAGACUUCUAGCCUCCAGAACUGUGAGAAAUAAAUUUCUGUUGGUCAAGCCAAAAAGAAAAAAAAAAAGAAAAAAGAAAGAAAAAAGAAAGAAAGAAAGAGUAUAGCAAACAUAGUAUAAAGUGCAGAUUAUAGUGUUUACGUAUUUACUUUAAGAUUUGAAAACAGAACUUAGAAUAGGAAACAUUUGGAAAAAUAUUUAGAAAUAUUUUUGUAUUUUUUGGUAAUACUGAUCAUCAGUAUACAUAAUUCUAUAC